GAGACUCGCCUUAAAGUAAUUGGCAGCCGGCCUACUGGUUUCGGAGCGCAGCACAAGUCGCACUCUCUAUCAGCAAAGGUCUAGCAUCCAUUAAGCCUUUUUUUCAACUUUUGACCUCGGAUCAGGUAGGGAUACCCGCUGAACUUAAGCAUAUCAAUAAGCGGAGGAAAAGAAACCAACAGGGAUUGCCCUAGUAACGGCGAGUGAAGCGGCAACAGCUCAAAUUUGAAAUCUGGCUCUUUUAGAGUCCGAGUUGUAAUUUGCAGAGGGCGCUUUGGCUUUGGCAGCGGUCCAAGUUCCUUGGAACAGGACGUCACAGAGGGUGAGAAUCCCGUACGUGGUCGCUGGCUAUUGCCGUGUAAAGCCCCUUCGACGAGUCGAGUUGUUUGGGAAUGCAGCUCUAAAUGGGAGGUACAUUUCUUCUAAAGCUAAAUAUUGGCCAGAGACCGAUAGCGCACAAGUAGAGUGAUCGAAAGAUGAAAAGCACUUUGGAAAGAGAGUCAAACAGCACGUGAAAUUGUUGAAAGGGAAGCGCUUGCAGCCAGACUUGCUUACAGUUGCUCAUCCGGGUUUCUACCCGGUGCACUCUUCUGUAGGCAGGCCAGCAUCAGUUUGGGCGGUAGGAUAAAGGUCUCUGUCACGUACCUCCUUUCGGGGAGGCCUUAUAGGGGAGACGACAUACUA
rnacentral:rRNA from 1 species